CGUAUAGAAUCUGCCUUGUACAGGAGGAUAGCCUUUAGAAAUGAAGAUUAAUACUCCAUAAUGUUGAGAUUCGGCAUCGAGACUUAAUUAAAGAUUUAUUGGUACAAGAUGACUAUGCGUCCUAUUAGCUAGAUGGUAAGGUAACGGCUUACCAUGGCAACGAUAGGUAGGGGGUCUGAGAGGAUUAUCCCCCACACUGGUACUGAGACACGGACCAGACUCCUACGGGAGGCAGCAGUGAGGAAUAUUGGUCAAUGGAGGCAACUCUGAACCAGCCAUGCCGCGUGUAGGAUGACUGCCCUAUGGGUUGUAAACUACUUUUAUACAGGAAGAAACAGUCGUACGUGUACGGCCUUGACGGUACUGUAAGAAUAAGCACCGGCUAACUCCGUGCCAGCAGCCGCGGUAAUACGGAGGGUGCAAGCGUUAUCCGGAAUCAUUGGGUUUAAAGGGUCCGCAGGCGGUCAAUUAAGUCAGAGGUGAAAUCCUACAGCUUAACUGUAGAACUGCCUUUGAUACUGGUUGACUUGAGUUAUAUGGAAGUAGGUAGAAUGUGUAGUGUAGCGGUGAAAUGCUUAGAUAUUACACAGAAUACCGAUUGCGAAGGCAGCCUACUACGUAUAUACUGACGCUC
rnacentral:rRNA from 1 species